UCUGCGUGCUACCAUGUUUCCUAAGAUGAUAAUGGACUAAACCUCUGAACCUCCUCCAGAGCCACAUUGUCCACGCCUGUACUAGCCCUGCCCACCGCCUGGAGCUUCUCUGCUGCAUUGAUGACAACAGCAGUGACCUUAGUAGCUGACCGGACAAUAAUGCCUUCACAGUCCUGCAGCUCGGCUGUCAGCUCCUUCUUGCUCAAGUUCUGCUUCUCCACCACCUGCAGCCCUCCAUCUUGCAGGAUCUUCCGGCAGCAGGGCUCCAGGCUGUCACUGAUGAGUACUUUGCUCAGAUUUGCAAAGGCCAUUGCUAGAGUCAAGCCUUAGAAUCAGUUGCUCUGGGUGGGCAGAAGCACUUAGUUCAAAAACUGCAGGCAAGGGCUGGCUCUGGUGACUGGGCAGGAAUUUUCUUUUGUUUUUUAAGACAGAUUUAUUUAUUAUUAUAUGUAAGUACACUGUA
rnacentral:lncRNA from 1 species